CUUCUUUUUGACCUACUCUGUGUCUGAUGCAUUCUCUCUCUCUGCUGUCCAGAUUCCUUUGAUAGAAGACACCUGACUCUAAGAUGGUGAUGGUGGGAGUAUCGCUAAAAGUUUAUACAGCAGUUCAUCAGAACCUCUGUAUCGAGACUCGAAUGUUUUCCAGGAAGUCUGUCUCCCCUGGACCAGUGGAAGUACCUUCAUUAUAACAUUAUCAUAGGAACAACAACUGCAAUGACGUCACCAUGCAGGAGACUCAGAGCCUCAGAGAUCAUGAGGUAUGGUCUUGAUCUGUUACAGAGGGGAAGAGAAACAAGCAUGUGGAAUUCCAGCUCAGGGUAGCAUGCAUCUUAACCGGUUUGUCAAAGCUUAGCAGAA